rnacentral:misc_RNA from 1 species
CAGGCUGCUUAUAUACGAGCCGGUGCGGUCGGUGUACCAGGCGGUGGACGGCAGGCGCCUCGACGCCGGCAACACGUGGGUGCCCGUCAGAGACAAGACCGUGCUUGAAGUUAGGUGCGUCGCUGAAGGUGGAGUCCCUCCUCCGGAACUGUCAUGGCGUCUUCUGGCUCUAGAACCGGCGCUCGACCACCGGCCCUAUCUUCGUGUACAUCACACUAAUUAUUCUAUUGAGGGCGUGUCGUGGU